CCUACGGGGGGCAGCAGUGAGGAAUAUUGGUCAAUGGGCGGGAGCCUGAACCAGCCAAGUCGCGUGAAGGAAGAAGGUACUUAGUAUUGUAAACUUCUUUUGUCGGGGAACAAAGGCGGAGACGCGUCUCCGGAUGAGUGUACCCGAAGAAAAGGCAUCGGCUAACUCCGUGCCAGCAGCCGCGGUAAUACGGAGGAUGCGAGCGUUAUCCGGAUUUAUUGGGUUUAAAGGGUGCGCAGGCGGGAGAUCAAGUCAGCGGUAAAAUGUCGGGGCUCAACCAUUCAGACUAUUAGCUAAACUGUUAAGCUCGAGACCGUUAGGGGUAACUGGAAUUUCUAGUGUAGGAGUGAAAUCCGUAGAUAUUAGAAGGAACACCAAUAGCGUAGGCAGGUUGCUGGGACGGUUCUGACACUAAGGCACGAAAGCGUAGGGAGCAAACGGGAUUAGAUACCCCUGUAGUC
rnacentral:rRNA from 1 species